GAUGAACGCUAGCGGCAGGCCUAAUACAUGCAAGUCGAACGGUCAGUAGCAAUACUGAUAGUGGCGCACGGGUGCGUAACACGUAACUAACCUACCCAUCAUUGGGGGAUAGCCCGCCGAAAGGCGGAUUAAUACCGCAUAAGACUAUAGAGCGGCAUCGCUUAGUAGUUAAAGAUUUAUUGAUGAUGGAUGGGGUUGCGGGUCAUUAGCUAGUUGGUUGGGUAACGGCUGACCAAGGCGACGAUGACUAGGGGAGCUGAGAGGCUGGUCCCCCACACGGGCACUGAGAUACGGGCCCGACUCCUACGGGAGGCAGCAGUAGGGAAUAUUGGGCAAUGGGCGAGAGCCUGACCCAGCCAUGCCGCGUGCAGGAAGAAGGCUUUCUGAGUCGUAAACUGCUUUUGACAGGGAAGAAUAAGCAUUACGUGUAAUGUGAUGACGGUACCUGCAGAAUAAGCACCGGCUAACUCCCGUGCAGCAGCCGCGGUAAUACGGAGGGUGCGAGCGUUGUCCGGGAUUAUUGGGUUAAAAGGGUGCGUAGGCGGCCUUAUAGUCCGGGGUGAAGCCCGUUGCUCAACAACGGAACUGCCCUGGAUACUGUGAGGCUUGAGUACAGACGAGGUUGGCGGAAUGGACUGAGUAGCGGUGAAAUGCAUAGAUACAGUCCAGAACCCCGAUUGCGAAGGCAGCUGACUAGGCUGUUACUGACGCUGAGGCACGACAGCGUGGGGAGCGAACAGGAUUAGAUACCCUGGUAGUCCACGCCGUAAACGAUGGAUACUCGCUGCGAGCUAAAGAUUGUUCGUGGCUUAGGGAAACCGAUAAGUAUCCCACCUGGGGAGUACGCCGGCAACGGUGAAACUCAAAGGAAUUGACGGGGGCCCGCACAAGUGGUGGAGCAUGUGGUUUAAUUCGAUGAUACGCGAGGAACCUUACCUAGGCUAGAAUGCGCGUGACCGGCUCAGAGAUGAGCCUUUCCUUCGGGACACAAAGCAAGGUGCUGCAUGGCCGUCGUCAGCUCGUGCCGUGAGGUGUUGGGUUAAGUCCCGCAACGAGCGCAACCCCUAUGGUUAGUUGCCAGCACGUAAUGGUGGGGACUCUAGCCAGACUGCCUGCGCAAGCAGUGAGGAAGGCGGGGACGACGUCAGGUCAUCAUGGCCCUUACGCCUAGGGCGACACACGUGCUACAAUGGACGGUACAGCGGGUAGCUACUGGGCGACCAGAUGCCAAUCUCGAAAAGCCGUUCUCAGUUCGGAUCGGAGUCUGCAACUCGACUCCGUGAAGCUGGAAUCACUAGUAAUCGCGCAUCAGCCAUGGCGCGGUGAAUACGUUCCCGGGCCU
rnacentral:rRNA from 1 species